rfam:Mycobacterium abscessus strain PAP053 genome assembly, contig: ERS075544SCcontig000017
UAAUUUCCGUUGAAUAGGAAAGUAAGUACAAGACAGCUGGUAGAGAGACUUUGGUUGGUGAAAAAAGUUAGAUGUCUGUAUCGAAAAAUGGCCUAGGAGGAAUUUUUGUCGAAACGUAGGCAAAAACGUAAUGUCUUUCGUUAACAAGACCGCUGAUUAUGAUUGUCAGUUGAAGGGAAAGAGUCAUCUUUCCGAAAAAAGGUGGUACCGCGAUAAUAAUCGCCCUUUUA